rnacentral:rRNA from 1 species
CUACGGGUGGCACCAGUGGGGAAUAUUGGACAAUGGGGGAAACCCUGAUCCAGCAAUGCCGCGUGUGUGAAGAAGGCCUUAGGGUUGUAAAGCACUUUCAGUAGUGAGGAAAAGUUUAAGGCUAAUACCCUUGAACCCUGACGUUAACUACAGAAGAAGCACCGGCUAACUUCGUGCCAGCAGCCGCGGUAAUACGAAGGGUGCAAGCGUUAAUCGGAUUUACUGGGCGUAAAGCGCGCGUAGGCGGUUUGAUAAGUCGGAUGUGAAAGCCCCGGGCUCAACCUGGGAAUUGCAUUCGAUACUGGCAGGCUAGAGUAUGGUAGAGGGAAGUGGAAUUCCAGAUGUAGCGGUGAAAUGCGUAGAUAUGUGGAGGAACACCAGUGGCGAAGGCGACUUCCUGGCCCAAUACUGACGCUGAGGUGCGAAAGCGUGGGGAGCAAACAGGAUUAGAUACCCGCGUAGUC